CGGGGGGUCGGCCGGCGAUGGACUUCGGAUGGCACUGGGGAGGUUCGACAGACGUCGGAGGUGAUCGAUCGUUGUAAGAAUCCAGCUAUCGGAGUCCAUCCGUUGUGAAAGCUCAUCCGAAAUCCAUCCGCUGUGGAGGCUCGGACGGAGUCUGAUUCUUGUGGGAGGCCGAAAGGAGGCCACUUAUUGUUGGAGCUCGAUCGAAGAUCGAUUGUCGUGGGAGCUCGGAGUAACGACCUGGCUGGUGGAUCUUGCCCCAUGGUAGAAGCUCGUCUGGGAUCCGACUAUGAAGAAGCUCGGCUGAAGCCUACCUGUAAUGGAAGUUCGAAAGAAAUUUGUUUACAGCAGAGGCUCGAAUGGAAUUUGCUUACAGUAGAUAUCUAGAGU
rnacentral:lncRNA from 1 species